UUACCAGUAUUUGAGGAGCUGAAAUCGCGCCAACCCCAUGUUUUAAUUCUCUUUUGGGGUGGAAUCAUAAUCCGCAGGUCCGGGGUUCGAGUCCCUGAUUCGCCACCA
rnacentral:tRNA from 1 species